GGCCCCGGCGGCUCGACCCGGCGCGGGCGAGAGGCCCGGCGCGGGAAUCCCGUGCGGGCGACCUCGAGGUGCCGGCAGCUGCGCUCGGACCCGGGUCUCCACCGGGAGAGCUUUUUUAACCCCUUUCCGGAAAGGUGGGAACUCAUCUUGACGGUCGAGUUUAACAGAACAAUGGAAGCCCUGGCUACGUUUAAAGAAAAAUAAAACUUGUGUGUGUGUGUCUGUGUUUUUUUUUUUUUUUCCUUCUCCUUUUGGGUGUUGGCUCUUAACUCUUUCCAAGCCGAUUUUGCCCAGGGCUGCCGUGCUCACCGAGGAGAAGGGACUGGCUGGGGCUGAAACCUUGGUGACGUUCAGGUAACUUACAAGAUUAAAAUUAAAUUUGGUUGAUGAUGGUUCUGAACAAAUACAGCUCUUUUAUUUGAGAUAAACUAUUCUGAAGACUGAGACCGUGGAGUUUUAUCUGAGGAUAAAGGAAAUCUUUGCGGAAAUCUAUAUUUUAUAUAGCAAAAAUGUGAUUCCUGAGACUGAAUCUCUAAAGGGCCCAUACAACGUAAUAGAUGUUGGUGGAAGCAUUUACACCCAGUCAGCUUGAAGAGUCUCAAAUGGACCCUACUACUGAAAAACCAAGAUGGCAGUCCACUAUGGGGAAUAGAGGAAAAUGGAUUAAUACGAGUGCUGUGAUAAUAUACAACCAAGACAGGGUUCUUUUAACAUGGAUUUCAUGAAAUGAAGACAAUAGGUUUCUUACCCAACACAAAUGGACAGUGGAUUUGACUUUCUAAAGACUUUUUGUAUCAUUAAAACAAGUCCAUUUUUGGCAUUUGGAGAUGAAAAAUGGUACCUUAACAGAGAUGAUAGUUUGUAUGCCUGGAAUUUUUUUCAGCUUGAUUUGUAUGAAUAUGACCUUGUGAAAUGUUAACUUUUAAUAAAAUUUCUAACACUUUAAAAUUU